rnacentral:rRNA from 1 species
GAUGAACGCUGGCGGCGUGCCUAAUACAUGCAAGUCGAGCGAACAGACGAGGAGCUUGCUCCUCUGACGUUAGCGGCGGACGGGUGAGUAACACGUGGAUAACCUACCUAUAAGACUGGGAUAACUUCGGGAAACCGGAGCUAAUACCGGAUAAUAUAUUGAACCGCAUGGUUCAAUAGUGAAAGACGGUUUUGCUGUCACUUAUAGAUGGAUCCGCGCCGCAUUAGCUAGUUGGUAAGGUAACGGCUUACCAAGGCGACGAUGCGUAGCCGACCUGAGAGGGUGAUCGGCCCCCCUGGAACUGAGACACGGUCCAGACUCCUACGGGAGGCAGCAGUAGGGAAUCUUCCGCAAUGGGCGAAAGCCUGACGGAGCAACGCCGCGUGAGUGAUGAAGGUCUUCGGAUCGUAAAACUCUGUUAUUAGGGAAGAACAAAUGUGUAAGUAACUAUGCACGUCUUGACGGUACCUAAUCAGAAAGCCACGGCUAACUACGUG